rnacentral:misc_RNA from 1 species
AAUUCUCAACCAUCCUUUUGAUUUAUUUCGAGGGGAUGGCUUGGAUUUUGGGAGUUGCCGGCUGACCACGGUCGGCUCUCCUUAAAAGCAUUAGCGAAAGGUGACAAGCCCUGCAUGCACGGCCUUUGACGUGAUAAUGAUCGUCGUGGCUGGAGUGUGAGGCAUAGAUCGUCCUUUUGCUUCGAAAAACAUGGUAUUUUGGGGAGUUUGCUUCGGCGGACGAACCUUUUUACCCCUUUGAC